rnacentral:snoRNA from 1 species
AGCACUUAAUCUGUUUUAAUCUAACUGUGGACAGGUACAAAACAUAAAUCCUCCUUUGUAACCCAGAACUCCUUGUUCAGUAUGAGUUUUCAUGCAUAAGAGAAGUAAUAUU